ensembl:ncRNA asRNA:CR43159 antisense RNA:CR43159
UUCUUCGAUGUGAUAUAUAUGAUUUCGUUGCCCUCGGCUGUGAUGUUGGCUAGUUUGGCACAUCGUACGACAGCUCCGAAUUUGGGGAUAACAUAGUACAAUGUUCCGAAAUUGUCGAUGAUCAUGCUGCGACUGCUGCCCAGAAGACUGCCCAAAUGUUCUGUCCACCGUACUGUAUAGAUCACCAUCCUGGUCGGAGAGUAUGAGUUCCCCUUGAAUUCCGAAGAUGAAAUCCACUGGCUUGAUGGGAAACGAUUGAUUCAUAUUCUCGUACUUAUUGCUCUCCAAGGAUAGGCGGUGCCACGUCUGCUCCAGGAUGUCGUAGGCUAGAAUUUCUGGUACCUUUCCAAGGAUGAAGUAAAUAUGGCGCUCGUGCUCGCAUCCCGGACUCUUGGGUCCCAUUUGGACAGUCAGAAAGUGGGUGUCAUUAGCACCUAUAUGGUGUCCACAAUCGAUUCUCAAUAGCUCCGCGUUGUUACGCAUCAGAUCGAAGACAAACAAACGGGGUGAGCACGUGCUGCCGGGAAAUCCGAUGUCCAUGACCCACAGUCGACUCAGUGCAUCCACCUGGGACCAGUGUGCCUGUUGUACCAGAGAGCAAUCAUCAUGAUCCCCCAUGGAAUGAACAUCGAUGUGGGGAAAGACGACAGUGGGCAUGGGAAAAUAGGAAACCGGCCAUUGCGCCUCGAUCAAAGUGGGCGCAUCGUUGCUUUCUACAUUUACGCUGAGAAACACUCGCGAAAAGUGCAUCGAUAGAUGACGGACUUUGUAGCUGGAUUCGUUUAAACCAGAUUCGGAUAACAGCCAGGCGUCCGUGGCCAGAAUUAGACCAACAAUGAGAAAUCCCAAGCCGAGGACACCAUGUGUGACCAUCUUUAAACGCGAAUUCAGACUGAGCUUAGGGCUAGAGAACUCUGCUUACGUUGUAAGUGCCCGUUCAAGAAGUCCACCAAAGUGUCUACAUCAGCAGUUGGGAUCGGGUGUCGCCGAAUAUAUCGGCGACCUGCAUUAAUGGGGACCAGCAUUGGAGUGUUUCUCUAUUCACUUGUGGUCCCAAAAAAAAAAAGCUUACCAAUUUCAAUCGGAGAAUAUCGAAAUCAUGACACAGUUUCCUCUUAAAAUUACCCAAAAUUGGAUUGUUAUAUUUUUCAAAAUAAAUCAAAGUUAAAACCAAC